rnacentral:tRNA from 2 species
GGAGGGAUCGCAUAGUCUGGCCUAGUGCGCGCGCCUGGAAAGCGCGUUGGGGGUUUGCGCCCCCUCGUGGGUUCGAAUCCCACUCCCUCCG